UACAGAGGGUGCAAGCGUUGUUCGGAAUUACUGGCGUAAAGCGCGUGUAGGCUGCGAUGUAAGUCAGGUGUGAAAGCCCUCAGCUUAACUGAGGAAGUGCACUUGAUACUGUGUCGCUUGAGUGUCGGAGGGGGUGGCGGAAUUCCCGGUGUAGAGGUGAAAUUCGUAGAUAUCGGGAGGAACACCUGUGGCGAAGGCGGCCACCUGGACGACAACUGACGCUGAGACGCGAAAGCGUGGGUAGCAAACAGG
rnacentral:rRNA from 1 species